rnacentral:tRNA from 1 species
UCCCUGCAAGCUCAGCUGGUAAAGAAUCUGCCUGCAAUGCAGGAGAUCCUGGUUCGAUCCCUGGGUUGGGAA